rnacentral:lncRNA from 1 species
UGUUUUAUAUGUAUUUUUGUGUGUUUCUUUCGAUUGGAACGAAAGGUUGGAUUUUGUCGUGAAUCCGUGGUCGAUCGAGACGAAACAAAAUCGCAGCUUUGUUGUCUCUGUCGUGCUGAUCGCACUAGUGUGAUCCGUUUGCGAAUCUGACGGACGAAUCUGCAGAGAUCGCGCAUUGAUCGGGGAGAGGUUGGUAGUGGCAAAACGGUAUUUUCGCAAAAGUCGCGAUAUUUUAUGUACCGUUUCACGAGGGAUCGCACGUGGAGGGGCGUUCAUGCGUUUUAGUCGUACCGUGAGGGACUCGGAUUGUAAUUCUGAUGUUUGGGGGACCUUUUUGCAUGUUACACCUUACUUACAUAGGCUUUUUAGGGUUUUUACCUAGCUAACGUAACCCUAGCCUUGCCCUAGCUCCCUAGCCGCCUCCCCCACGUUCCCCUGCUCUCCCCGCGCGCGCCCUGGCCACCUGAGCUCGCCGCCGGCCGCCGGAGCUGGCUGCUCCAUCCAUUCUCCAUCUUCUUCCCUCUUUUUCUCUCUCCCUCUCUCCUCUCGGGUUGAGUGUAGGCCCGGGGCUGCGCCUCCUGCAGACCCUCCCCCUGGAUUUCACCGUGCCCUGGCAACCUUCCCUGCCGACCGCCGCCGUCGCCGGGCGCCGCCGCUGCUGCUCCUGCGGUCUGCUGCAACCCAGGCCGAGCCUGGCCGAGCGGGGUUGCAGCUGCUGCCAGCGCGCCGCCACCGCCUGGAAACCCUCCCGCCGACAUCCCCCGUGCCCGGGCGCCCCUUCCCGCCGGUCGCCGCCGCCCCGACGCG